AUGGACGUUCAUUUCUCUAUCCCUGCGAUGCCUUUCAGCAGGAGCGCUCCGGCGGCGGCCUCUUCCAAGCCUGAGUGGCGCACUCUUCCUCAGCCUGGAUCUUUGACAAGCUUGCCUCAAUCACCAGUUAAGGUUAGUCCAUUACGGCAUGGGUUUAAGUUUCGUUCUUUCAUCCUGCGCAAAUUCAAAGUUGAUCUAGUUCCACUACCUACCACCACUCCUGAUCCCAAAACACACACCUUGCUUUGGAUAAGCUUCUUUUUAGCAGUAGCAAAACCGAGUGCGUUUUUGGUCAAACUUGCCCUCGACCACUUUUUCGCUGGGCGUUCUAGCUUUAUUGUUAUGCAUUACCAAGAGUGUUUCUUCCUUACUCUAGUGUCGUCGGAUGAGGUCAGAAACGAGCUCGUCAAAAAGUCUCCGGUUUCUUGUCCUGGCAUUACCCUAGCCCUCAGCCGCUCCCUCCAGGCGGCAAAAGCAUAUGUGAAUUCAAAUUUUGAACCGCUGCGUCCCCCGGACUUGGCUGCCAAGGAAACAACCGGAACCACUACCCCUCCCUCCAUUUAUGGGGAUGCCACACUCUGUCCUUCCCCUUCCUCCCGUUACUAG
rnacentral:rRNA from 1 species